UUUGGGCUCAAGCCCAUCAAGCCGUUUUAAGCCCUUCUCUUAAAACCUAACCAAAAUCCCAAUCCCUCGCUAGCUCACUCUUCCAAAAUUACGGUAGCGAAAUGGCAAUUCUAGUCUGGACGCCAUCUCCAACGGCAUUGCCAAUGGCGGUUAGAGCUUUAUGGGACACCCAACAGAGACUCUCUUUCGACCCCAACGCUCCACGAAAGCUGAAACCCAACCCUAACCCUAACCUUAACCUUAAACCCUCACCGCCCGUCACCACCGACCCAUCGGUUUUCGAUAUCCUCAAGCGUCCCAUUCAAGAAGUAGCGCCCGUAAAGGUAGAUUUGGAUGAUUCUUAUUUGGGAUAUGAGAGAUGGUUACCAACAGCACCAAAAGUGGAGAAGCCUCGAUCAGUUUUAAAUGCGGCAACAUUAGCUUAUAUUGGUGAUUGAUUUAUGAGCUUUAUGCGCGGAGGCAUUUUUGGCUUCCACCGCCAAGUAUUGAAGGAUAUAAUGAUCGCGUGACCUCAGUAGCACGUUGUGAGGCACAAGUAUGAUGUUUUCCAGAGUAUAUAUUAAUGUUUGAGGGGUGUUUUGGUUGUCUGUGCAUGUUGAUAUUUCAUUGCUUCUUUUGCUUCUUUUAGGAUGCAUUGCUACAGGAACUUCUUAAUGAUAGUUUCUUAUCUAAUGGUGAAGGGUUAAUGGAAAUGUUUUCAUACUUUUAUCCUUCUUUUCCAUAUUUCUUUGUUUGUAUGUUUAUGCAUGCCCGCAAAACAAUCAUGCUUCUUUAAAAAUUUGGAAUUUCAGACUUUGACAUUUUGAGUAGCACUCAAGCUGUUCAAUAACUAAUACAUCAAGAACAACUAAAAACAAAAGAACAGCUCUAGUUGCUUGAUUAUUUAUUAGAAUGGAUGAGAUUGGUUGGUGUAGACAUCAAAUGUCUUUGGCUUAAAACGGGAUAAAAGCUUGAUAAGUUAUCUACUCAGAAACUUUAUGAGCUAUGUGGCAUUGAGAAGUAGAUUGAUUUCCUACAGGUGUUUGUAUAGCAAUGUGCUUUCUUAUUAAUAUGAUAUAUGCAAGUAAAUCUACCUCAAGAUAGAUUGGGAUUUCUAAAGCUACUAGUGUAUGCUAAAAAACGAUUGGUUGAAAGUCUUCUAGAAAAGUCAGACAUUUGCAAUGCCUCCUACGAAUGACUUAUAAUAAACAUUCUAAUGACUAUUAAGUUCCUUCCUUUUAUAAUAAUAACCCCUCAUUUGGAACAAUUGUUUGAUUAUUUGUUGUUCAAGAAAGCAAUAUUCUGGAUAAUCUCAGAUAAUACUAUGAUUUUAAUACAACUUUUAUAUUAGUUGCAUGCGAUUAGGAGCUUAUCUACAUAUCUAGUAAAUGGUGCUCUAUUAAGCUCAAGCAGAAACUCUUCAAACGCAUGAUGAAUAGUUAAGAUUUAAGAGAUAUGAUAUAAUUUUUUAUUUGUUUCUUAUAUGUUCUAAAUGGUGAUAAGACCAGAAGAAGGCUUGACAUUUAAGGCAGUUAAGUGAUUGCAUGAUAUGGUACAAUGUGUAGUAGUAAUGACAUGACUAGAAGUCUAGAAGUAAUAAUAAAUAAUGCUUCUAAUAGGUACACCAACCAGUAGUUACAUUGCAUACGGAGAGGCAUCAAGAUUCAAGAGACGGGAUGUUCUUCGAUGGGGAAAGAAUAUUAGUUCAGCUAAAUCACGGACAAAAAAGUGUGCAGGUGCAGCAGUUUAUAAUACAGCAUCUUCACUUGAAACACUAAUUGGUUUAUCUCUACCUUACAAAUGUGAGUAGCUUGGAAAAACUCAUGCUAAAGCUCGGAUUUUCCACUGGAGCAUCUGCAGAAAUGAUAUUGAAGGAAGUAAAUGGUCCUUCUUUUUAGGUUUCGGGAGAAAGGUUAUGUAACAGCUUACAUGUUGCAAGUGAGGUGUAAAAUUAUUAGGAAGUUCAACAACAGACAUUAGUCUUUUUCUGAUCUAAUUCUUUGACUGCUUGCUUUCAACUUUUACCGAUUGCCUGCUGUAACAAAAUAGCCCUUGCAAACAGACUGCAAAUUUUCAACUCAGGCUUCUUAUCUUUUUCAUUAUCGUCUGAUUCACGGAUUGUCUUUAUUUUCUUCCCUUAAAACAGCUGCAAAACCUGUACGGUAGAUAAAGUUGGUGUGGAACAUCUCUUGUUUCCUACAAGCAGGCUCGAGUAGAAAGAGCCGCCGCAUCAUUUGUUCCCUUCUGGGUUUGGGCCUUGCAAAGUUUCAAGAUGUUGCCUCUUGUAUUAUUUUUAGACACCAUAUUUGUGGUGCUUUUCCCAUUUUGCUUCUGCAUAUAUUAAUUGUUUGUAUCGGCUUUCAUUUGUGAAAUUAAAGUAAACAUAUAUAAAUACAAUUAUACAAAGAACCAUAGAAAAGCACGAGCAAUUGCUUCUACAAAGCAUGCGCAAUGUAUCAAUCAAGUAUCAAAUAAUUAGUGCUUUGUAAAUGGCCAUUGGCCAAGUAUCAACCAAGUUUUCUAUUAUACACGAUUUGUCAAUUCAAAAUAUGA